rnacentral:rRNA from 1 species
UAGCUAAUACCGGAUAAGAAAGCAGAUCGCAUGAUAAGCUUUUAAAAGGCGGCGUAAAGCUGUCGCUAUGGGGAUGGCCCCGCGGUGCAUUAGCUAGUUGGCAAGGUAAAGGGCUUACCAAGGCGAUGAUGCAUAGCCCGAGUUGAGAGACUGAUCGGGCCACAUUGGGGACUGAGACACGGGCCCAAACUCCUACGGGAGGCAGCAGUAGGGAAUCUUCCACAAUGGACGCAAGUCUGAUGGAGCAAACGCCGCGUGAGUGAAGAAGGUUUUCGGAUCGUAAAAAGCUCUGUUGUUGGUGAAGAAGGAUAGAGGUAGUAACUGGCCCUUUAUUUGACGGUAAUCAACCAGAAAGUCACGGGCUAACUACGUGCUAGCAGCCGCGGUAAAU